GUUUAUUAUUUAUAAAUAAAACACAAUAAAAUAAGUUUUUAACACAUAAUAAUAUCACAACAAAUACACA
rnacentral:tRNA from 1 species